rnacentral:rRNA from 1 species
GACGUAGGGCGCGAGCGUUGUCCGGAUUUAUUGGGCGUAAAGAGCUCGUAGGCGGCUCGUUGCGUCGGCUGUGAAAACCCGUGGCUCAACUGCGGGCUUGCGGUCGAUACGGGCGGGCUAGAGUUCGGUAGGGGAGACUGGAAUUCCUGGUGUAGCGGUGAAAUGCGCAGAUAUCAGGAGGAACACCGGUGGCGAAGGCGGGUCUCUGGGCCGAUACUGACGCUGAGGAGCGAAAGCGUGGGGAGCGAACAGG